ACAAUAGCCGGGAUACUCCUUACUUCAGCAUUGAGUGAGUGUGCAUUGUUAGGGUUUGGGAGGGUACCUAGUUUUACCCCUACCCUAGGUCUCCAAUAACUGUGGGACAUGUGGACUUCUACACCAGGAGUGUUUGAUAAUAUGGGCGUGUCUCCUGAUCAGGCAAAGAAGAGGAUAUUGAAUUCCCCACCCAAGGUGGAGCUACAGCCCAGGGAGCAGAUCCUACAAGAAAUUAGGUCACAGCCCAAAUUGAAAUCAGUGAGGGAGAGGAGGAUAGUUGAGACAUCGCGGACCAAGCUGAACAAUGAGGAUGAUGAGGAGUGUCCCCAACCCGUCCGGAAGGUCAUCAAGCCCGACUUCACCCUCUUCCUGGACAGCUUUGAUGAGUCGGAAAAUGACAAUGAUUCAAGUCUUGGGUCUUCUCAAUCCAGCAUCAGCUCCCCGUCCCCCGAGAAAGACAGCGUCCGAUGGAGGCGGGCAGUGGUGAGGGAUGUAGCGACCUCUGAUCGUCAUUGUACCGUGGAACGCCGGCACUCCAUCAUGGUCUGUGAAUCCCCCCAGAAGAAGCUAGCCCACCCCAUCGAGUGUUUGUCCUUGACUUUAGAGGAGGUCACACACAUCAGACAGGUGUUAACGAAGGCGGAGCUAGAGACGCUCAUCACGAACCACGAAAUGUACAACCUCGUGUCAAAAGGAAAGGUGUGCUUUACCUGUAAAUUGGUCAAGUUCUCCAUGUUUGGUCAAUGGGGAACUCGAUGCAAGAUCUGUAAACGCAACGUUUGCAACAACUGUCUCAGAAAGAUGAACAUUCCCACGGAACACUUCCAGAAUAUUCCAGUUCACACACUGAGCCCAAUACCCCUCAGUCCUGAAACCCUGGAUCUUCUCAAAGUCUACGAAAGGACUGGGUCUGUACCCCACACUCCUUCAUCAGAAAGGAAGACCCAGCAAAUCCUGGAGGAACCGGCCGCGAGGCGGACAUCCUUACAGAGAUCCCACACCAUAGGAUCGGGGUCAGCCCCCACCCUCCCCAACAAAAACUUACUGCGGGGCCCCCAGAUGAGUGUGUGCUGUGACUGCAAGACCAUGAUAAUGGAGAUCAUCCGGGCCAGUCGCACAUCCAUCGCUCUCAUCCACAAAGGACAGGAAGCUCAGCCCUCCCCAACCAAGGAGGAGGAGAGAGGGGAGGGGCUUAACCUGUCAACGCUGUCACUCAACAUCAAACAGUUCUUCAACAAGUGAUAGGAGAGAAAUCUUCUGAUAAUCAUCCGUGCAAUCUUUUCCUUAUGAUCUAUAUUCUAUUUGUUUUAAAAUAGCAUUUUUUUUUUGUCCAUUCAUUUUUACACUUAUUCAAUUAAUAAUGAAAUAGAACAAAAGUCUUCCCAAUAUAAAGGUUUCUUUUAUUUUUAAUGGUAAUGUUGAAUGCAAUCUGAACAACUGAAGUAUGUUAGUUGUUAAAAUUCAUGCAGAAUCCACAUUGAAAUUAUCUCAUGUUUUGGUCAAAUAAAAGAUGAUUUU
rnacentral:misc_RNA from 1 species